UCAUUGAUGGUUCAGUGGUAGAAUUCUCACAUUUUGUGUGGGAGACCCAGGUUUGAGUCCCAGCCAAUGUA
rnacentral:tRNA from 1 species